ACACCUCCAUAAUGGAGGCUAUUUGAGUGUGAAAAACCAUACAGUCAGCCAUUCUUAGCUAACGUUAGCAGCUAGCAUUAACUAGUUAUCACCAAUUCCUGUCUCCAACGUGUAUUAAAGACUACAUAGGCCAGCUCGGUGAUGUUGUCCCCUCGACCCUUGGCUGCGCCGGUCUGGGAAUCCAAGAUGGCAGCCCAGUCUCCUCUUUUAAUCUCCAGCCAACCACCUGAAGGAAGGUCAAUGCUCUCUGGUACGUCUUCUAUGGUCUCCUCUUUGACCAGCAGCAGAUCAGGCUUCCCUUCCUCCAUGUCUACUGACUGUAAGAGAUACAGAGUGAGAGGAUGUUGGAUCAAGAAAUCUGAUAUGAGCACCGUGCUAUGGAGCAUCUUCUGGUUGGGCAAUGAGAGUUUGCUAUGAGCACUAUACAAACAUGUUAGUUGAGUGUAAUACUUGAUAGUCUUUAAUGGUUUAAUAAAUGAAAACAUGGUCCCACACUUCAGACAAAAUUAAUCAAGACCACGGCCUGCAUCCACAAAGUGUCUCAGAGUAAAACUUAUCCUACUCUUAUGGGUAAAAAUAAAAGCUAUGCUUGAAGAAUCUUUAGUCAUAAGAGUCCUACCUAGUCUACAGAUAUUUAGGAGAACUCAUGAGCUGUUCUAACUAGUUGAGUUACCAGCAAGUGUCUAUAUAAUAGAAAAGGUCAGCGAGUCAGUGGUUCCUGCACCAUAGGCAAUUAUUUUGGAGUUGUUGAAAGAAUGUGUUGAUAUUUCUAUAUGAUCAAUCCAUAAAUAAUCUAGACCUACCUGCAACAGUAUCUCUUGCGCUUUUGACAAUAAUUUCACAUGAUAUGCCUAAAUUGUUUUAACAAUCCCAAUUUUCUUUUGAUUAUUUCAAUAACCUACAUUGUUAUUUCACGUUAUCCCUUUGGGGCGCAACAUAAUCUUGAUAGACAUUCAGUCGACCUUAAAUUGGGUAUGCCUUUAGGUUUGGAAAUUGAAAUCAUCUAGAUAAUGUUGCACAAAAUGUUUGAAAGGUCUAUAAUUUUCACAUGAUAAGGCAUUAACGUUAACUUUGAUUAUGUUUGACGAAAAUGAUAAGACUAUUCAAACGUUUUAUGCAACAUUAUCGGCAAGUGAGUUGAUGCCUACUGUGCCAAAGCGAUUUAGAGUUGUUAAACGGUAGUGACGAGUGUGUUGAUAUAACGGUAAUAGCCUAUUAACAUAAUUCCUCUUUUAACAACCAUCAGAAUUGGUUAAAAAAAGGUUAUGCAUGCCAAAAUAUUAGGCAAGAAUUAAGUUUGGGCAAAGUAAUUGUAUUAGGUGAAAAUAAUAUUAAACACUUUACCAUUGCAACAUUUGAUGGGUGUCUGAAGCAUUCUAUAGUCCAAAACUGGUAAUGCCUCAUCGCGAUGAGUUAUUCCCCAUAAUUCAAUUUCUUAUGACCGAAAAGACCUUCUGGAUAUCAGAACGGCGAUCACUAACCUCGAUUUGGAUGAAUAUUUCUACUUCAACGGUCAGAGGAGCAG